rnacentral:rRNA from 1 species
UACGAAGGGGGCUAGCGUUGCUCGGAAUUACUGGCGUAAAGGCGCGUAGGCGGCACUGUUAGUCAGGCGUGAAAGUCCUGGGCUCAACCUGGGAACUGCGCUUGAUACGGCAGAGCUAGAGGAUGGAAGAGGCUGCGGAAUUCCCAGUGUAGAGGUGAAAUGCGUAGAGAUUGGGAAGAACACCGGUGGCGAAAGCGCUACUACUGGCCUGCACUGACACUCAUGGACGAAAGCUAGGGGAGCGAAAGGG